GACAAACGCUGGCGGCGUGCCUAACACAUGCAAGUCGAACGGAGAAUUUCAAUAAGCUUGCUUAGCGAAAUUUUUAGUGGCGGACGGGUGAGUAACGCGUGGGUAACCUACCCAUAAAGCCGGGACAACCCUUGGAAACGAGGGCUAAUACCGGAUAAUCUUGAGAUAUGGCAUCAUAAUUCAAGGAAAGGUGGCCUCUGAAAAUGCUACCGCUUAGGGAUGGACCCGCGUCUGAUUAGCUAGUUGGUGGGGUAAAGGCCUACAAAGGCGACGAGUGGUAGACGGCCUGAGAGGGUGAACGGCCACACUGGGACUGGGAAACGGCCCAGAGUCCUACGGGAGGCAGCAGUGGGGAAUCUUCCGCAAUGGACGAAAGUCUGACGGAGCAACGCCGCGUGUAUGAAGAAGGUUUUCGGAUUGUAAAGUACUGUCUUUGGGGAAGAAUGACUAGCCUGAAAAUAUUGGGUUAGUAUGACGGUACCCAAGGAGGAAGCCCCGGCUAACUACGUGCCAGCCGCCGCAGUAACAC
rnacentral:rRNA from 1 species